CACACUAAAAAAGUUGAACCGUCGCGUGGGAACAAAAAGGCAGCGGUGAAAUCGUCUGUCAUCAAGGUCCGCGCGCUCCUUCGCAUAUAUGAAAAUCACUGUAUGAAGGGCUGUUGCGUCAGCAGCACAGUUGAAAGAGAGACGAAUUGGCACGAUGCGCCGAAGUUCAAAAACAUCUGACCAAGAUCACCCUGUUUUUCCCAGAAUGUAGCGCUGCGGAGUGGGCCUCCGUGCGUGUGUGUCCUCUGCUGUCGGCAGUGCGAGAUGAGCGCUACACACAUGUGAAGGAACUGUACCUCUGGGACCUGACCAUCAGGCAUCGGGACAUGGCAGAGCUGUGUUUGUUGCUGGAGAGUAAGGGAAGGACAGUAUAUCCACUGACGACACUGGAGUUGCUGGACUGCAGGCUGGACCACUGGGCUUUGGCAAGGCUGGGCACAGCUGUGGCACUCAGCUCCAUCACCACACUCUCUCUGGACUACGCACAAGACGGCCAAUGAAAACCAUGCAGCCAGAGGGUCCAUCUCAGGACAGCGGAGAGAAGGAAUAGGAGGCCGAGGGCAAAGGGAAGAAGAAGCGAAAGACAAAAAAAGAACAAGAAAAAAGAGGGAAUGAAGGGCACAGGUGCUUUGGACACUGGGCCUUGGCUGGAGAAACUUCACAUGGCGGAUAAUGCCAUAGAUGAGGUCAAGACAGAGGGCACUGCUGCAGGGAUGGACUGUAUAGACGUCAUCUGUGUCCUGAUGAAGCUCUCCCCUCACCUGCUGGAGAUAGACCUGGGACAGAACCAUGUUGGAGAGGCGGCAGGCCAACUGCUACUGGACGCUCUGACCGAAAGAGGCAAAGCUAAGCUGCGGCCUGUUUAAAUGUUUGUGUCUACAAGGAUGAGUCCCACUACCUUUUUCGGCCAUUUUGAAGAACGGCAAGAAGCUUACGUCUGUUACAGUAAGAAGAGAGGGCCAAAGAGAGGCAAGGUGAGACUGCGG